UACGUAGGUGGCAAGCGUUGUCCGGAUUUAUUGGGCGUAGAGCGAGCGCAGGCGGUUCCUUAAGUCUGAUGUGAAAGCCCCCGGCUCAACCGGGGAAGGUCAUUGGAAACUGUGGAACUUGAGUGCAUAAGAGGAGAGUGGAAUUCCAUGUGUAGCGGUGAAAUGCGUAGAUAUGUGGAGGAACACCAGUGGCGAAGGCAGCUCUCUGGUCUGUAACUGACGCUGAGGCUCGAAAGCGUGGGGAGCAAACAGG
rnacentral:rRNA from 1 species